rnacentral:rRNA from 1 species
UACGAAGGGGGCUAGCGUUGCUCGGAAUCACUGGGCGUAAAGGGUGCGUAGGCGGGUCUUUAAGUCAGGGGUGAAAUCCUGGAGCUCAACUCCAGAACUGCCUUUGAUACUGAGGAUCUUGAGUCCGGGAGAGGUGAGUGGAACUGCGAGUGUAGAGGUGAAAUUCGUAGAUAUUAGGAAGAACACCAGUGGCGAAGGCGGCUCACUGGCCCGGUACUGACGCUGAGGCGCGAAAGCGUGGGGAGCGAACAGG